UUUGAAGAUUGUAACCUUGGGGUUGGCUCUUGCCUAUGUUUCUUGGAACAGGACGUCACAGAGGGUGAGAAUCCCGUGCGAUGAGAUGCCCAAUUCUAUGUAAGGUGCUUUCGAAGAGUCGAGUUGUUUGGGAAUGCAGCUCUAAGUGGGUGGUAAAUUCCAUCUAAAGCUAAAUAUUGGCGAGAGACCGAUAGCGAACAAGUACAGUGAUGGAAAGAUGAAAAGAACUUUGAAAAGAGAGUGAAAAAGUACGUGAAAUUGUUGAAAGGGAAGGGUUUGAGAUCAGACUCGAUAUUUUGUGAGCCUUGCCUUCGUGGCGGGGUGACCCGCAGCUUAUCGGGCCAGCAUCGGUUUGGGCGGUAGGAUAAUGGCGUAGGAAUGUGACUUUACUUCGGUGAAGUGUUAUAGCCUGCGUUGAUGCUGCCUGCCUAGACCGAGGACUGCGAUUUUUAUCAAAGGAUGCUGGCAUAAUGAUCCCAAACCGCCCGUCUUUGAAACACGGA
rnacentral:rRNA from 1 species